rnacentral:rRNA from 1 species
UGGGGAAUCUUGCACAAUGGGGGCAACCCUGAUGCAGCGACGCCGCGUGAGCGAUGAAGCCCUUCGGGGCGUAAAGCUCUUUCGACCGGAACGAUAAUGACGGUACCGGGAGAAGAAGCUGCGGCUAACUACGUGCCAGCAGCCGCGGUAAUACGUAGGCAGCAAGCGUUGUUCGGAGUUACUGGGCGUAAAGAGUGCGUAGGCGGUUUUCUAAGUUCGGUGUGAAAUCUCCCGGCUUAACUGGGAGGGUGCGCCGAAGACUGGGAAGCUGGAGUGUGGGAAAGGCAGGCGGAAUUCCUGGUGUAGCGGUGAAAUACGUAGAUAUCAGGAGGAACACCGGCGGUGUAGACGGCUUGCUAGACCAUAACUGACGCUGAGGCACGAAAGCGUGGGUAGCAAA